CCUACGGGUGGCAGCAGUGGGGAAUAUUGGACAAUGGGGGCAACCCUGAUCCAGCCAUGCCGCGUGUGUGAAGAAGGCCCUCGGGUUGUAAAGCACUUUCAGUGAGGAAGAACGCCUGGUGGUUAAUACCCAUCAGGAAAGACAUCACUCACAGAAGAAGCACCGGCUAACUCCGUGCCAGCAGCCGCGGUAAUACGGAGGGUGCGAGCGUUAAUCGGAAUUACUGGGCGUAAAGCGCGCGUAGGUGGCUUGAUAAGCCGGUUGUGAAAGCCCCGGGCUCAACCUGGGAACGGCAUCCGGAACUGUCAAGCUAGAGUGUAGGAGAGGAAGGUAGAAUUCCCGGUGUAGCGGUGAAAUGCGUAGAGAUCGGGAGGAAUACCAGUGGCGAAGGCGGCCUUCUGGACUGACACUGACACUGAGGUGCGAAAGCGUGGGUAGCAAACAGGAUUAGAUACCCGAGUAGUC
rnacentral:rRNA from 1 species